rnacentral:lncRNA from 1 species
GUUUCUUUCUCCGUUGAGGUAACAAAUUUUACAUCUGGAGGUCCAAAAUUCUGGCAGAAAUUUAUCCGGCCAAGUUUUUCAAUUUAUCCAAAUGCCUCUAGGCAAGCCGUUGAAGGAGUUUUUUAAACCAGUUGAUGAAGGGUCUGUCAAACAUGUCCCAUGUUCAACAGGGGAAUCACUGCCAGAAAAUGCUGUUGAAGGUGGAUAUGAUAACGGACCAUCUUACCACGGGAGAGGAAUUGUUUCGGAGAAAACAAUUCCAGGCAAGGUCGGAGUAGAUUCGCCUAGAAAUGGCCGUUUGAAAGGGGCGUGCAUUCCUUACGGAUCUAAAGAGCACCGCGUCCACACAUUCGAGGUGCUCACAUCAACAUCGAAAACAUCCUAUGUG